AUGGGUUUCAUCGUUUUUCUAAUUUCUUCGCUAGCAGAAUGUGAAAGAUUACCUUUUGAUUUACCAGAAGCAGAAGAAGAAUUAGUAGCUGGUUAUCAAACAGAAUACUCAGGUAUUAGAUUUGGUUUAUUUUACGCUAAGAAUGGAUCAAUUAUUAAAUCUUGGAUGGAAAUUUCUUUUACCUAUUUCUCUCGAAAGAAAUAA